AUAAUGGGUCAGCGACUUAUAUUCUGUAGCAAGGUUAACCGAAUAGGGGAGCCGAAGGGAAACCGAGUCUUAACUGGGCGUUAAGUUGCAGGGUAUAGACCCGAAACCCGGUGAUCUAGCCAUGGGCAGGUUGAAGGUUGGGUAACACUAACUGGAGGACCGAACCGACUAAUGUUGAAAAAUUAGCGGAUGACUUGUGGCUGGGGGUGAAAGGCCAAUCAAACCGGGAGAUAGCUGGUUCUCCCCGAAAGCUAUUUAGGUAGCGCCUCGUGAAUUCAUCUCCGGGGGUAGAGCACUGUUUCGGCAAGGGGGUCAUCCCGACUUACCAACCCGAUGCAAACUGCGAAUACCGGAGAAUGUUAUCACGGGAGACACACGGCGGGUGCUAACGUCCGUCGUGAAGAGGGAAACAACCCAGACCGCCAGCUAAGGUCCCAAAGUCAUGGUUAAGUGGGAAACGAUGUGGGAAGGCCCAGACAGCCAGGAUGUUGGCUUAGAAGCAGCCAUCAUUUAAAGAAAGCGUAAUAGCUCACUGGUCGAGUCGGCCUGCGCGGAAGAUGUAACGGGGCUAAACCAUGCACCGAAGCUGCGGCAGCGACGCUGAUGCGUUGUUGGGUAGGGGAGCGUUCUGUAAGCCUGUGAAGGUGUGCUGUGAGGCAUGCUGGAGGUAUCAGAAGUGCGAAUGCUGACAUAAGUAACGAUAAAGCGGGUGAAAAGCCCGCUCGCCGGAAGACCAAGGGUUCCUGUCCAACGUUAAUCGGGGCAGGGUGAGUCGACCCCUAAGGCGAGGCCGAAAGGCGUAGUCGAUGGGAAACAGGUUAAUAUUCCUGUACUUGGUGUUACUGCGAAGGGGGGACGGAGAAGGCUAUGUUGGCCGGGCGACGGUUGUCCCGGUUUAAGCGUGUAGGCUGGUUUUCCAGGCAAAUCCGGAAAAUCAAGGCUGAGGCGUGAUGACGAGGCACUACGGUGCUGAAGCAACAAAUGCCCUGCUUCCAGGAAAAGCCUCUAAGCAUCAGGUAACAUCAAAUCGUACCCCAAACCGACACAGGUGGUCAGGUAGAGAAUACCAAGGCGCUUGAGAGAACUCGGGUGAAGGAACUAGGCAAAAUGGUGCCGUAACUUCGGGAGAAGGCACGCUGAUAUGUAGGUGAAGUCCCUCGCGGAUGGAGCUGAAAUCAGUCGAAGAUACCAGCUGGCUGCAACUGUUUAUUAAAAACACAGCACUGUGCAAACACGAAAGUGGACGUAUACGGUGUGACGCCUGCCCGGUGCCGGAAGGUUAAUUGAUGGGGUCAGCGCAAGCGAAGCUCUUGAUCGAAGCCCCGGUAAACGGCGGCCGUAACUAUAACGGUCCUAAGGUAGCGAAAUUCCUUGUCGGGUAAGUUCCGACCUGCACGAAUGGCGUAAUGAUGGCCAGGCUGUCUCCACCCGAGACUCAGUGAAAUUGAACUCGCUGUGAAGAUGCAGUGUACCCGCGGCAAGACGGAAAGACCCCGUGAACCUUUACUAUAGCUUGACACUGAACAUUGAGCCUUGAUGUGUAGGAUAGGUGGGAGGCUUUGAAGUGUGGACGCCAGUCUGCAUGGAGCCGGCCUUGAAAUACCACCCUUUAAUGUUUGAUGUUCUAACGUUGACCCGUUAUCCGGGUUGCGGACAGUGUCUGGUGGGUAGUUUGACUGGGGCGGUCUCCUCCUAAAGAGUAACGGAGGAGCACGAAGGUUGGCUAAUCCUGGUCGGACAUCAGGAGGUUAGUGCAAUGGCAUAAGCCAGCUUGACUGCGAGCGUGACGGCGCGAGCAGGUGCGAAAGCAGGUCAUAGUGAUCCGGUGGUUCUGAAUGGAAGGGCCAUCGCUCAACGGAUAAAAGGUACUCCGGGGAUAACAGGCUGAUACCGCCCAAGAGUUCAUAUCGACGGCGGUGUUUGGCACCUCGAUGUCGGCUCAUCACAUCCUGGGGCUGAAGUAGGUCCCAAGGGUAUGGCUGUUCGCCAUUUAAAGUGGUACGCGAGCUGGGUUUAGAACGUCGUGAGACAGUUCGGUCCCUAUCUGCCGUGGGCGCUGGAGAACU
rnacentral:rRNA from 1 species